AUUGAACGCUGGCGGCAGACCUAACACAUGCAAGUCGAACGAGUGGCGGACGGGUGAGUAAUGUAUGGGAUACUGCCUGAUGAAGGGGGAUAACUACUGUAAACGGUAGCUAAUACCGCAUACCAUCGGAUGUGCCCAGAUGGGUUUAGCUAGUAGUUGGGGUAACGGCUCACCUAGGCGACGAUCCAUAGCUGGUCAGAUAGGAUGACCAGGCACACUGGAACUGAGACACGGUCCAGACUCCUACGGCAGUCAGCAGUGGGGAAUAUUGCACAAUGGGCGCAAGCCUGAUGCAGCCAUGCUGCUAGUAUGAAGAAGGCCUUCGGGUUGUAAAGUACUUUCAGCGGGGAGGCGUUACCCGCAGAAGAAGCACCGGCUAACUCCGUGCCAGCAGCCGCGGGAAUAC
rnacentral:rRNA from 1 species